AGGGAAUAUUGCACAAUGGGGGAAACCCUGAUGCAGCGACGCCGCGUGAGUGAUGAAGGCCUUCGGGUCGUAAAGCUCUGUCGCAGGGGAAUAACACAAUGAAUGUACCCUGUAAGAAAGGAUCGGCUAACUUCGUGCCAGCAGCCGCGGUAAGACGAGGGAUCCUAGCGUUGUUCGGAAUUAUUGGGCGUAAAGCGGAUGUAGGUGGCUUUGUAAGUCAGAUGUGAAAGCCCAGGGCUCAACCCUGGAAGUGCAUUUGAUACUGCGAAGCUUGAGUGUCGGAGAGGUUACUAGAAUUGUUGGUGUAGUGGUAAAAUACGUAGAUAUCAACAGGAAUACCGGAGGCGAAGGCGGGUAACUGGCCGAACACUGACACUGAGAUCCGAAAGCGUGGGGAUCAAAC
rnacentral:rRNA from 1 species